rnacentral:rRNA from 1 species
UACAGAGGGGGCAAGCGUUGUUCGGAAUUACUGGGCGUAAAGGGCGCGUAGGCGGCCGCCUAAGUCAGACGUGAAAUCCCUCGGCUCAACCGGGGAACUGCGUCUGAUACUGGGUGGCUUGAAUUCGGGAGAGGGAUGCGGAAUUCCAGGUGUAGCGGUGAAAUGCGUAGAUAUCUGGAGGAACACCGGUGGCGAAGGCGGCAUCCUGGACCGGCAUUGACGCUGAGGCGCGAAAGCUAGGGGAGCAAACGGG